UACGAAGGGGGCUAGCGUUGUUCGGAAUUACUGGGCGUAAAGCGUGCGCAGGCGGCUUCUCAAGUCAGGGGUGAAAGCCCAGAGCUCAACUCUGGAAUUGCCUUUGAAACUGGAGAGCUAGAAUCUUGGAGAGGCGAGUGGAAUUCCGAGUGUAGAGGUGAAAUUCGUAGAUAUUCGGAAGAACACCAGUGGCGAAGGCGACUCGCUGGACAAGUAUUGACGCUGAGGUGCGAAAGCGUGGGGAGCAAACAGG
rnacentral:rRNA from 1 species